AUUGAACGCUGGCGGCAUGCCUUACACAUGCAAGUCGAACGGUAACAGGUCUUCGGAUGCUGACGAGUGGCGAACGGGUGAGUAAUACAUCGGAACGUGCCCGAUCGUGGGGGAUAACGAGGCGAAAGCUUUGCUAAUACCGCAUAAGAUCUAUGGAUGAAAGCAGGGGACCGCAAGGCCUUGCGCGAACGGAGCGGCCGAUGGCAGAUUAGGUAGUUGGUGGGGUAAAGGCUUACCAAGCCUACGAUCUGUAGCUGGUCUGAGAGGACGACCAGCCACACUGGGACUGAGACACGGCCCAGACUCCUACGGGAGGCAGCAGUGGGGAAUUUUGGACAAUGGGCGCAAGCCUGAUCCAGCCAUGCCGCGUGCAGGAUGAAGGCCUUCGGGUUGUAAACUGCUUUUGUACGGAACGAAAAGCCUCUUUCUAAUAAAGGGAGGUCAUGACGGUACCGUAAGAAUAAGCACCGGCUAACUACGUGCCAGCCGCCGCCGUAAGAC
rnacentral:rRNA from 1 species